AAGAGAAGCAGCACACAGACUCUCCAGAAGCUUCCCAUCGGCUGCAGACAAAAUCCACAGUCACAUCACAGUCUGUAGAAGGCUUCCAGCGCUGACCUCCCUAAAAACCGCUCCAUCCUAGACGUUCUAUAAAAAUGUCUUGCAUUAAGGACCCAGCAUGGCGGUCCGAAUUCGGUGGCGCAACGUCAGUCGGUCUCCGCCUCCUGUACCUCCACUUUCCCUGGCCAAGCCGGCCGCGGAGCGCGGAGUGGGCACAUGAGGACGCGCGGCACUGCGAAACCGGUCACCUGAUGGGCGACCAUGUCGGACAUCGGGGACUGGUUCAGGAGCAUCCCGGCCAUCACACACUACUGGUUUGCUGCUACAGUUGCUGUCCCCUUCUUGAUCUGCAAGCUCGGCAUCAUCAGCCCGGCCUACUUCUUCCUCUGGCCCGAAGCCUUCCUCUAUCGCUUCCAGAUAUGGAGGCCGUUCACUGCCACCUUUUACUUCCCCGUGGGCCCAGGGACUGGAUUUCUGUAUUUGGUCAAUUUAUAUUUCUUAUAUCAGUAUUCUACGCGGCUUGAAGCAGGAGCUUUUGACGGGAGGCCAGCAGACUAUUUAUUCAUGCCUCUCUUUAACUGGAUCUGCAUCGUUAUCACUGGCUUAGCAAUGGAUAUGCAGCUGCUGCUGGUCCCUCUGAUCAUGUCAGUGCUCUACGUCUGAGCCCAGCUGAACAGAGACCUGAUCGUGUCGUUCUGGUUCGGAACGCGAUUUAAGGCCUGUUACUUACCUUGGGUUAUCCUUGGAUUCAACUAUAUCAAGGAUAUAUAUAUGGAGGCUCGGUGAUCAAUGAGCUCAUUGGAAACCUUGUCGGACAUCUUUAUUUCUUCCUGAUGUUUAGAUACCCAGUGGACUUGGGAGGAAGGAAUUUUCUGUCCACACCUCAGUUUUUGUACGGCUGACUACCCAGUAGGAGAGGAGGGGUGACAGGAUUUGGUGUGCCCCCUGCUAGUAUGAGGCAAGCUGCUGAUCAGAAUGGCAGAGGCGGGAGACACAACUGGGGCCAGGGCUUCUGAUUGGAAACCAGUGAGGGGCAGCCCUGGCCUGCUCACCAGCCAUGCCGAGCAGAUGACAGACUCCUCCCAGUGCUAGGCACGCUUAAUGGCCGAGCUCUUGCUGCCGCUCUUGG
rnacentral:lncRNA from 1 species